AACAGGAUUAGAUACCCUGGUAGUCCAUGCCGUAAACGAUGAUUACUAAGUGUUGGAGGGUUCCGCCCUUCAGUGCUGCAGCUAACGCAUUAAGUAAUCCGCCUGGGGAGUACGACCGCAAGGUUGAAACUCAAAAGAAUUGACGGGGGCCCGCACAAGCGGUGGAGCAUGUGGUUUAAUUCGAAGCUACGCGAAGAACCUUACCAGGUCUUGACAUCUUCUGCCAACCUAAGAGAUUAGGCGUUCCCUUCGGGGACAGAAUGACAGGUGGUGCAUGGUUGUCGUCAGCUCGUGUCGUGAGAUGUUGGGUUAAGUCCCGCAACGAGCGCAACCCUUAUUACUAGUUGCCAGCAUUCAGUUGGGCACUCUAGUGAGACUGCCGGUGACAAACCGGAGGAAGGUGGGGACGACGUCAAAUCAUCAUGCCCCUUAUGACCUGGGCUACACACGUGCUACAAUGGAUGGUACAACGAGUCGCGAAACCGCGAGGUUUAGCUAAUCUCUUAAAACCAUUCUCAGUUCGGACUGUAGGCUGCAACUCGCCUACACGAAGUCGGAAUCGCUAGUAAUCGCGGAUCAGCAUGCCGCGGUGAAUACGUUCCCGGGCCUUGUACACACCGCCCGUCACACCAUGAGAGUUUGUAACACCCAAAGCCGGUGGGGUAACCUUUUAGGAGCUAGCCGUCUAAGGUGGGACAGAUGAUUAGGGUGAAGUCGUAACAAGGUAACC
rnacentral:rRNA from 1 species